UGACUCUCGACAAUGGAUAUCUUGGCUCUUGCAUCGAUGAAGAGCGCAGCGAAAUGCGAUACGUGGUGUGAAUUGCAGAAUCCCGUGAACCAUCGAGUUUUUGAACGCAAGUUGCGCCCGAGGCCAAUUGGCUAAGGGCACGUCCGCCUGGGCGUCAAG
rnacentral:rRNA from 1 species